UACGUAGGUGACAAGCGUUGUCCGGAUUUACUGGCGUAAAGAGCGCGCAGGCGGUCAAUCAAGUCGAGUGUGAAAGCCCCCGGCUCAACUGGGGAGGGUCAUUCGAUACUGAUCGACUCGAAGGCAGGAGAGGGUAGUGGAAUUCCCGGUGUAGUGGUGAAAUGCGUAGAUAUCGGGAGGAACACCAGUGGCGAAGGCGACUACCUGGCCUGUUCUUGACGCUGAGGCGCGAAAGCUAGGGGAGCAAACGGG
rnacentral:rRNA from 1 species